rnacentral:rRNA from 1 species
UACAGAGGUCUCAAGCGUUGUUCGGAUUCAUUGGGCGUAAAGGGUGUGUAGGUGGCGCCGUAAGUCGGGUGUGAAAUUUCGGAGCUUAACUCCGAAACUGCAUUCGAUACUGCGGUGCUUGAGGACUGGAGAGGAGACUGGAAUUCAUGGUGUAGCAGUGAAAUGCGUAGAGAUCAUGAGGAAGACCAGUGGCGAAGGCGGGUCUCUGGGCCGUAACUGACGCUGAGGCGCGAAAGCUAGGGGAGCAAACGGG